GCCAGCUGAUCACUCGUCCCCAGGCGGAGCGCGGCUGAGGAAAGCUAGCGUGGACAGCAUAGAGAAAUGAGGUAACAGAAGGGAGACCACUUCAAAACAAAGGCAACAACUCAGGGAUCCAAGAUUAACACAUCCUCCGAUCUGUGACGAGCGAAUUCAGGAUUUGCACAGGUGAAACUGAAAAGUCAAACUGGAAAUUUACAGUCUACCCGUCUAGAGAAGCAGGCUAAAAGGAAAUCAU